rnacentral:rRNA from 1 species
UAGCCGUAAACGAUACUCGCUAGGUGUCGGCCACGGUGCGACCGUUGUCGGUGCCGUAGGGAAGCCGUGAAGCGAGCCACCUGGGAAGUACGGCCGCAAGGCUGAAACUUAAAGGAAUUGGCGGGGGAGCACAACAACGGGUGGAGCUAGCGGUUUAAUUGGACUCAACGCCGGGAAGCUCACCGGAUAAGACAGCGGAAUGAUUGCCGGGCUGAAGACCCUGCAUGACCAGCUGAGAGGUGGUGCAUGGCGUAGUCGUGU